rnacentral:tRNA from 1 species
UCAGAUCAAAUGACUUCACAGAGCAAAUGACUGUUAAUCAUUGGGUCCCUGGUUCGAGCCCAGGUCGCGGAGCCA